GACGUGCAUCACAUGAAGAGUCAGCAAAAAAGAAAAGAAAAAGGAAACAGGUCAGGUGGUGCUCAUUUCAAUUCCUUGGGUUUGGCAUGCUGUGAUGAUGCCGGACAGCAGAAGAGGGAAUGGUAGAUCAUCACUAGGCAGGUGCUGGCUCCUCCCCUUCUUCUUCAAGGGCUUCGGAAAUCGGACCAUUUGACUGCAACUCCUCACCCCUGCCGGCUCUCGACAAAACUUCCAUCCAGCGUCGCUGCAUUUCCUCACAGUCGGCACUGAAGUAAACGGUCAAAUGACUCUGGCUCAUUUUGAAGGCGAAGCGACGUUCUAGACGGUCACUUGAUUCAGAUGGAGUGUGGCGUUGAUCUGUGGUGCCGUGGUUCAUCUGAAAUCCACUCACCAUUUUCCUGAUGGCAGCGUUUGAAUGUUCUGCCGCUGUGGCGAUCAGCUCCAGAGAUUCUGAAAAGAAUAAAGGAUGAAGGCACAUGCACGAAUAGUUGAAAUGAAACAGAAAGUGAGCCGCUGCGGUCAGUGGAGGAGAUAAGGCCCAUUUCAGCGUUCUGCCGUUCUGCACUCACUCUGAGCGUCUUUGAAGUCGUCCGCGUCCUCUGGCAGGCGGUGCAGAUAGUCUUUGAGCAGGAGCUCGUAACGAGGGAUCCUCUGCACAGGCUCCAACAUGUGGUGCUGUAGGCGCGGGCAGCAGGAACUGCUGGUGGAAGCAGUAGAUGGAGCAGAUGUUGGAGAAGAUGCCCAUGACCACCUCACAGGGGAAGGAGCUGCGAGCCCGGGCUUCCUCCAUCAGCUGGGCGCAGAAAACCUGGUCCAGGAGGUGCAGUCUGGACACGUAGGCCUUCUCUGUAUGCAGCAGCUCAUUAGCAAUGUUAAAUACCCGCUGCUGGACUGACAGCUGUAAAAUGAGAA